rnacentral:misc_RNA from 1 species
AAGUCGUAACAAGGUUUCCGUAGGUGAACCUGCGGAAGGAUCAUUAACAAAUAACGAGAGUAUCGUCAUGAUACUAUCUAUUAAACCAUGUUGAAACGUUUAAAUAUUUCUAGUCCUUGAACAUAAGGGUGUAUAUUCAUAUGUUUGAGGAUUAGGGAUAAUAUUAUAAAACAUUCAUUAUUAAUUUUUAGACAUGAUGAUGAUGGUAAUAGAUGAUGUGGGUUGAUUGAAUCAUAUUAUUAUUAUUCCAUCUCGUCGUCGAUCUAUUAUCAUCUUCAUCAUUGUUGUUAAUAUAUAACUAACAAGUUAACAAAAAACACUUUUAACAAUGGAUCUCUAGGCUCUU